UUCCACAAAACCGCCAUUGUCAUCGUGGCCA
rnacentral:piRNA from 1 species